rnacentral:rRNA from 1 species
AAACCAGAUAUGACUUAGUGGCGGACGGGUGAGUAACACGUGAGCAACCUGCCUUUCAGAGGGGGAUAACGGCUGGAAACGGAUGCUAAAACCGGAUAGGUAGCAGACAAGCAUUUGACUGCUAUUAAAGUGGCUAAGGCCAUGAACAUGGAUGGACCUGCGGUGCAUUAGCUGGUUGGUGAGGUAACGGCCCACCAAGGCGACGAUGCAUAGCCGGCCUGAGAGGGCGGACGGCCACAUUGGGACUGGAGACACGGCCCAAACUCC